AACGAACGCUGGCGGCGUGCCUAACACAUGCAAGUCGAACGAGAAAGGGGCUUCGGCUCCGAGUAAAGUGGCGCACGGGUGAGUAACACGUGGGUAACCUGCCUCUAAGAUUGGGAUAACUCGUCGAAAGAUGAGCUAAUACCGAAUAAGACCACAGUUUCUGCGGGGACAGGGGUCAAAGGUAGCCUCUGCUUGCAAGCUAUCACUUAGAGAUGGGCCUGCGCACCAUUAGCUAGUUGGUAGGGUAACGGCCUACCAAGGCAAAGAUGGUUAGGUGGUUUGAGAGGAUGAUCAGUGAAAAUGGAACUGAGACACGGUCCAGACUCCUGCGGGAGGCAGCAGUGGGGAAUAUUGCGCAAUGGGCGAAAGCCUGACCUAGCAACGCCGCGUGAGUGAUGAAGGCCUUCGGGUCGUAAAGCUCUGUCGGAAGGAACGAAUGCUCCUGAGGUUAACAGCCUCGGGAGGUGACGGUACCUUCAAAGGAAGCACCGGCUAACUCUGUGCCAGCCGCCGCGGUAAAAC
rnacentral:rRNA from 1 species